AGAAAGUUAGUCCUCAAAAGAGGACCAGUGGGAAGAAUGCGUCUGGAGCCCUGAAUUGUCCAGCUCCCCCUCACCUGCGGUAAAAAUGAUCUGGCGCAGCUGGUACGGUACAUCGAUGUAUUUUUGAAAAGGGAAAGGGUUUUGCAAAACUGUCUUAUGUCCACUUUUAACAUGAAGGGGGGUGGUACACUGCGCAGAAGGCAGCAUUUGAGAAGACCACUCUGUUCUCGGUCGUCAUUACAGAUGCCGUGAUGACCAAUUUCCCAACGGCAACUGAAUUAGAAUUGAGGAAUGCCAUCGGGCAGCAUUUUAAACAAGCACCAGGGAGAGCGGGGGUGGGGAAUAGAAAUAAAAAUAACAUUUAAUCACUUCACUCUUGAUAGUUUGUCUCAUGAUUUGUAUUGGAUUUAAUAUUUUUCUAUGUCAUAAGUUGUCCGAAUAUUGGUUGUCCUUUUAUUACAAAUUUUUCUAAAGAAGUUAAAAUCUUUCUUACUUAGCUACUUACUUUUAAUGUAAUUACAUUGUUUAUAUACUUACUUUUAAUGUAAUUACAUUGUUUAUAUUUUGUUA